rnacentral:lncRNA from 1 species
AAGCCAUCACCGCCCCACUUCACACAAGUCACUGACUGCGUGUGACCCGUGAGGAUUUUGUCACACCUGCCCAUCAGCGUGUCCCAGAUGCGGAUGCUGCCAUCCUUGGAAGCACUGGCCAGGUAGCGGCACUCUGGGUUUAUGUGGAGCGGCUCCCAGCACAGACACGUGAUCCAUUUGGAAUGGCCAGUGAGAACGCGGCCGAUCUGAUUGCCGGUGGCUGGGUCCCAGAGAAAUAUCUGGCUGUUUUUGCAGCCUGAGG